rnacentral:rRNA from 1 species
UACGUAGGGCGCAAGCGUUGUCCGGAUUUAUUGGGCGUAAAGAGCUCGUAGGCGGUUUGUCGCGUCUUCCGUGAAAACUGGGGGCUUAACUUCCAGCUUGCGGUGGAUACGGGCUGACUGGAGUGCGGCAGGGGAGACUGGAAUUCCUGGUGUAGCGGUGAAAUGCGUAGAUAUCUGCAGGAACACCCGUGGCGAAAGCGGCGCGCUGGACCACUACUGACGCUGAGGAACGAAAGCUAGGGGAGCAAACAGG